GAGCAAUGAUUAAGCAUCGUGCUAAUGUGACUGGUUGGGUCUGUCACAGCUGACUGAUCUCUUGAUUAGCUCUAAAGCACAUAUGAGCUC